GGCUUUGGAGAGUUUGAUCCUGGCUCAGAUUGAACGCUGGCGGCAGGCUUAACACAUGCAAGUCGAACGGUAGCAGGAGAAAGCUUGCUUUCUUGCUGACGAGUGGCGGACGGGUGAGUAAUGCUUGGGAAUCUGGCUUAUGGAGGGGGAUGACGACGGGAAACUGUCGCUAAUACCGCGUAUUAUCGGAAGAUGAAAGUGCGGGACUGAGAGGCCGCAUGCCAUAGGAUGAGCCCAAGUGGGAUUAGGUAGUUGGUGGGGUAAAGGCCUACCAAGCCUGCGAUCUCUAGCUGGUCUGAGAGGAUGACCAGCCACACUGGAACUGAGACACGGUCCAGACUCCUACGGGAGGCAGCAGUGGGGAAUAUUGCGCAAUGGGGGGAACCCUGACGCAGCCAUGCCGCGUGAAUGAAGAAGGCCUUCGGGUUGUAAAGUUCUUUCGGUAUUGAGGAAGGUUGAUGUGUUAAUAGCACAUCAAAUUGACGUUAAAUACAGAAGAAGCACCGGCUAACUCCGUGCCAGCACCGCGGUAAUACGGAGGGUGCCAAGCGUUAAUCGGAAUAACUGGGCGUAAAGAGCACGCAGGCGGGUAUUUAAUGAGGUGUGAAAGCCCUGGGCUUACCUAGGAAUUGCAUUUCAGACUGGGUAACUAGAGUACUUUAGGGAGGGGUAGAAUUCCACGUGUAGCGGUGAAAUGCGUAGAGAUGUGGAGGAAUACCGAAGWCGAAGGCAGCCCCUUGGGAAUGUACUGACGCUCAUGUGCGAAAGCGUGGGGAGCAAACAGGAUUAGAUACCCUGGUAGUCCACGCUGUAAACGCUGUCGAUUUGGGGGUUGGGGUUUAACUCUGGCGCCCGUAGCUAACGUGAUAAAUCGACCGCCUGGGGAGUACGGCCGCAAGGUUAAAACUCAAAUGAAUUGACGGGGGCCCGCACAAGCGGUGGAGCAUGUGGUUUAAUUCGAUGCAACGCGAAGAACCUUACCUACUCUUGACAUCCUAAGAAGAGCUCAGAGAUGAGCUUGUGCCUUCGGGAACUUAGAGACAGGUGCUGCAUGGCUGUCGUCAGCUCGUGUUGUGAAAUGUUGGGUUAAGUCCCGCAACGAGCGCAACCCUUAUCCUUUGUUGCCAGCGACUUGGUCGGGAACUCAAAGGAGACUGCCAGUGAUAAACUGGAGGAAGGUGGGGAUGACGU
rnacentral:rRNA from 1 species